UACGUAGGUGACAAGCGUUGUCCGGAUUUACUGGGCGUAAAGAGCGCGCAGGCGGUCGUUCAAGUCGAGUGUGAAAGCCCCCGGCUCAACUGGGGAGGGUCACUCGAUACUGAUCGACUCGAAGGCAGGAGAGGGUAGUGGAAUUCCCGGUGUAGUGGUGAAAUGCGUAGAUAUCGGGAGAACACCAGUGGCGAAGGCGACUACCUGGCCUGUUCUUGACGCUGAGGCGCGAAAGCUAGGGAG
rnacentral:rRNA from 1 species